rnacentral:rRNA from 1 species
AUUAAACGCUGGCGGCAUGCCUUACACAUGCAAGUCGAACGGUAGCGCGGGGCAACCUGGCGACGAGUGGCGAACGGGUGAGUAAAGCAUCGGAACGUGCCCUGGAAUGGGGGAUAACGUAGCGAAAGUUACGCUAAUACCGCAUAUUCUGUGAGCAGGAAAGCAGGGAAUCGCAAGACCUUGCGUUCUGGGAGCGGCCGAUGUCGGAUUAGCUAGUUGGUGGGGUAAAAGCCUACCAAGGCGACGAUCCGUAGCGGGUCUGAGAGGAUGAUCCGCCACACUGGGACGGAGACACGGCCCAGACUCCUACGGGAGGCAGCAGUGGGGAAUUUUGGACAAUGGGCGGAAGCCUGAUCCAGCCAUGCCGCGUGAGUGAAGAAGGCC